rnacentral:rRNA from 1 species
UACGUAGGGUGCAAGCGUUAAUCGGAAUUACUGGGCGUAAAGCGUGCGCAGGCGGCCUUGCAAGACAGAUGUGAAAUCCCCGGGCUUAACCUGGGAAUGGCACUUGAAACUACGGGACUGGAGUAUGGCAGAGGGAGGUGGAAUUCCACGUGUAGCGGUGAAAUGCGUAGAGAUGUGGAGGAACACCGAUGGCGAAGGCAGCCUCCUGGGCCAAUACUGACGCUCAUGCACGAAAGCGUGGGGAGCAAACAGG